AUUACCUAAUAGUUCUGCUAGGUAUUUAUCUCUCUAACUUCUUCCUUUCAUGGAUCGUGAUGCCUCCGGUCUCUCUUUGUUCUAGGAAAAGCCAUCUCGUUAGUGAGAGGGACUCAGUGGUAUUUAUUCUUCUGGGCAAAAUCCCACGUGUGCCCUGAGUCCUCCUGCUGGCUGAGCACGUCAGGAAGGGAGCUCGAACUUGGCAGCUUUCAGAUGGGUGCUUCUGGGGUGCACGCUGUCACCGAGCAGUGGCAACCUGCUGUCCUGGCAGCUGGCUGCCACCAAGACGCACAGGAAGAUAUCCCUAGGUCUGCUUUUCUGCCUUAUCUUUAUCUGACAGUCGUUUCCUAAACCUGCAGCUUGUGGGCUGCCGGUGCAAAAACCUUUCUGAAGAAACCUUUGUAAGAAGCAGAGAGCCGCAGCAGCAACAGGUCAGUGCCAUCCGGGCUCUGCCCGCAUCGGCUUUGAGUUUUGGUGAUUAUGGAAGGUUGCUUCUCGUACGUGCACAGGAAACGAGUCCAGAAAACUUCUGGUUUAAAUUACAGUGAUUCCUAAUGCUGGAAGAAAGCCUUUAAUUGGUAGUAUCCUUUCCGCCCUUGUAAAUGACCUAACGUUGGCUUUGCUGCUUGCUGCAGGCUGCCAGAGCUCUGUGGCAGUAGCGUUAUGCUUGGAGGUGGAGCUGAGAUUCGAGCUUAGCUCAGGAGGAGUUAACCAGGGAGAUGAGGUGUCCUGAAGGCUUUCUUCUUGUGCUGAUGUAGUGGCUGCCUGGGACGUCACCUGUGCUCAGUGGCGCUGAAUAGCCCAUUCUUCUAGCUGUGAAGCUGAAGAACUUGUUUCUAAUCUAUAAAAACAAGAGAAACUAAGAUGCUUUCCUGUGGUUUCGGUGCAGCAGGCUGGCUGCUCGUGCAUUCCACGCUCUGUUUUCUCUUCACUAGAUGCCUUUACCACAAGAUCACUACUCGGUAGAAUAUGGGAGCGGAAAUAGCAGCAGGUUUUUUUAUUAUUUUUUUUUUAAACAACAAAAAAAACCUCCGAUCAAACCUCAUGCAUUCUAAAACCUUAUUCUAAAAGUAAACAAAUGGAAAGGCUCUGCACGCUGCUCACACGUUUUCAGCCUGCUUAGGACUGCUGCCUCUUCCCACCCUUACGCCGAGCAUUUGCCUAAGCCCCUGCUUGCUGGGGAAGGCGAUGGGAUAAUGGCACCCUCCCCUUGUUUAAGGGCGUAAUUAGGUGUGCCCAGAUGACUGGGGAGGAGAAUUGCACGUUAUUACAGGAAUUUAUAAAAUAGGCUAGUGUGGCUGGGACCACCUUGUCUGAAGUGAAGAUAUGACUGGCAUGAUCAAGUUUAUUCUCCAUCAUCCCAUUGUCCUUCCAUACUUUGAAAGUCGUGAAAUAAUUGUGCCUUCAUGGCUUAGCUAAUGUGUUUGCUGGUGCCUUUUAUGACCGGUGUUCAUAUGGCUCGCACCUGUGUUUUCCAGAUAACGACGCUUCUUUCCUUAACUGAUGUCUGUGAAGGAGUGUGAUGGAGAGAGCUCAGCAUGUAUCCUCCGAUGCAAAUGAAGUAAAUCAUAUGCUCCAUCUGCUCUGUCCGGACCGACGGCAGCUUAUAAGUUUAGAAAACAAGUUUAUUUGAGAAUUUAUGUAAAUCUUUGAAAGAAUGAGAGCACAUAGGGGACAGAAGGGAAAUCACCUUGCUGGAAACCCCCAGAACAAAUCUUGCCUUACCAUGUAGUGUUGUGAAGUAUCUGAACGUGUAUUCCAGUCCUUAAUUUUAACUUUAUGGCUUUUAAAAGGCUAAAAAUUUAGAAACUUCCAACCUUGAGAUGGGAUGAUGGACUGGCCAACAUGAGUGCGGUGUGUGAGAAUACCAAAUGUUUUAUUAUUUUUUUUAGGGGUGUGUGUCUCCCUUUGGAGGUACUCAGCCUGCUCAAAUAGAGGAUUGUGCUGUGUUCAAAGCAGGACUAGCAGGGCGAGGAUAAUUGGGUCUAUUAAAGUGACAUUUGGUAAAGAGCUGUGCUUAAAGGUUGGCGUGGACAUAGCUGCUUAGCUCUGAAGGUUUUGCUGCAUGCCUCUUAAUAAGUAAAGCCAUUGGAAAAAGGGAUUCAAGUGUGAUCAAGUAAUUAUAGAAAUCUAUGAAGUUGCAAAAGGAAGGGGAGGAAAAUACUUUAUGGCACUUAACUGCGUUCAGCUGAGAUCUGUUCUAGGUAAACUGGUCUGCUGUGUUCCAGCUGGGACGAGGCAGUUCCCCAAAAUGAAGUCCAUGAAAGAAUAAGAUGCCAUCAACAGAAAGGAAAGGCCCAUGUGUGCGAGGAGUCUCCUGAGCCUUGGGACACCAGCAGAAACAGCACUAGAAAUGCCCUCUGUGAAAGGUUUCCAUGUCUGCAACACGGAUGGUUCCCAUGAGGUUCUUAAUGUGAGGGUGAAGCAAUGGGCUGGGAAAGGAUGUAGAAGGGAGGGUGGUGGGGUUUGGGGUUCCCUCAACGACUUUAUGUGCUGGAGGUUGAUUUAAUCGACUCCAGAGAGUUGGCUGCUCUGUUGGAAGGCAAUACCACACUUUAUUUCCUUUGGGAAAAUAAGGAAACGGGAUGCUAGGGAAGAAAAUACAGGACCUCGCUUUCCUGGUGAUCCUAAGGUCAGCGUGACUCCAGCACGUGUUUCAGGCUCAAACUGAGUUCCCUAAACAAUCAGGGACACUCCGUGGAUGCCGGGCUUAACGCAAGCUUUUGUUACUUGCAACCAGCUCCAUCACAGGAGGUGAUGCUGCUCGGUGUAGAGCUGCUGUCAUCUUCCAUUUGCUUUCUUUACUGCUACCAUAAAUGGCUGUACUGUAAAAACAUUUGUUGACUGCUUGCGGUGGUUGAUUAUAUAGCGCUUCAGCUGAAUGUUUGCUUGCAGUUUCUUGAUGUGGUUCAUACUAGAUGUGGCUUUUUGUAACGUGAAAGUAGGUAUUUGCACAUCGAGCUGUAGCUCGUGGCAUGGCGUGAAGUGGCUCUGAACGUGAGAACGAGCCUGCUAAUGCUCGGGGAGCUCUGGGCUGUUGUGCUGCGGGGUUGUGUUAAGUGGACGAGGAUGGUGCCUUACAGGAGAUGUGCUUUUCUGCCUCAGUUAUAACAAUAUUUGGUUGGGAGGUCAUUAUAUUCUCACUUGAGGUAAAGCAGUCCUUGCUAUUAUGAUCAUAAAUUCUCUAAAGGUAGGAAAGAUACUGCUAGCACAUACCUGCGUAGGUCCUCCAGCUGAAGCCUCACAUGAAAUAUUCAUCUAAACAUCGUUAACGCCACAGAUACUAAGUAAUCUCUCUCUUUUUCUUUCCCAUGCAAUGUCUGUGUGAAUUCCCGGCAAAAAGUAAGCUCCCUCUGAGUUCCCGAGGUGCUUUCCUGCUUUUUCCUGCCCUGCGGUGAGGGUGACACUGACUAAGAGUGGUAGUACACCUGCAGGUGCAGAGACAAAGGGGAAGAAACUCUGUGGUUGGUUUUGGUCUAAGCAAAUGUUUUGCUGGUAAAUAUGCUUUUUUUAGAUGGAAAUUGUUGCUUGCUUAAAUAUGUAGACUAAAAACUGAAGACAAAAGCUUUUUUUUUUUUUUUAAUAUAACAUUUGAGGAUGUAAGUAUAUUUCCAUUUGACUUGAAAAAUCUAGAGUUUCUGUGGCUGAAAACUCUGGCGCCGUGUAGGAGCACUGAAAUUGCACUCACUGGAGCUUGAGGAUCUCAUCCCUUCCCCUACAGACCAGCUACCCAGCUGAGCUUAGCAAGGCAGUGCCUGUAAGCAGCUCUGCAGUACCAAAUCUUGCUCGCAUGUCAAGAUUAGCAGCUGUGUAAAACCACUUGCUAGCUUCUGGUUCCUGGAAUUAGUGUCUGUACGCAUUUCCCUAUAUGUAAGCUGCGUCGCUGUAAGCAAUGUAAACUCGUAGGACACUGACACGAAACAUGGAACAAACUUGAGACUUCACAGCCGUGAGUCUUUUUUUUUUUUUUCAUCUGACUCUCGAGGGUAAAAUUUUCCCUGCUACCUCUUGUAUUCCUUCUAGGAAUGCGAACUGUCUGUCUCCCAUGUAAAAGUUUCACUGUGCACGUUCUGAAAUACCAGAGGCAAAAUGCUGCAUUGCCUUUUCUAAACAGUCCUCGUGUGCUGUUUUUCCCCAGUGGUCGUGCCUCACCGUGAUGUCAGGUUCACCUGUAGCUCCAAAAUCUGUGCCAGAGAUCUCUGCUGAGCAGGGGUGGAAUUUCUCUGUCUUACGGGCACGUUUGAGGAUGGAGUAACUCUCACAUUGCGCUGCUCCGUUUGGCUGACAGUGAUCAGCUUCAGGCUUUUUUUUUUUCCUCCUCUGUUAGAAUUUGAUCCAUCAAAUGCCGUGUCCAAACAGAUGAGAAAAACAAAGGCUGCUUGUGUGCCUGGGAGCUUCUGGACAUCCUGUCUCUAGUGCUAAAGGGUGUCCACAGCCUCUUCUGACAAAGUCCCCUUCCUUCCUUCCUUCUCAGAAUCAGGUUGGAUAUUGUCCAAGUUGGUGCUCAAAAACUCUAUGGGAUUUACCGUGGUAAUAGGAAAAAAGAAAUGACUGGGUGGAGACUUAUUGCUGUCUGUGACUGCAGCAGCCUCGUAGUGUACAUCAGGUAUGUUCCUGGCCCUGAAAGUCAUCCUCACUCUUAAUUCAAUAUAUGUUGAUGAUUCUGGACCUUUUUUUUUCUUUUCUUAAAUGGUUAAUGCAUUUCAAUUAUACGGUGAAAUACCGUCCUAUGGAUGUUUAAUCCUAAUUUGAAUCAGCCUAGAGGACUGUAGGUUCUGGUUUUAAUGGGCUAGUUUACCCGGCUGUAUCUCCAUGUUCAAGCAAUUUCUUUAAGAGGAGAACCCAUCAGGCUCUCUGCCUGCCUGCUUCCAAAGACAAAAGCACCUGGCGUUGUAGAGAACUGAGAUGUGGUAGGAAAGGUAGGAGAAGGCUUUUACUACCUAAAGCAGGUUGUUACUUACUGCUUUCAGAAUUAGACAGGUACUAACUUCAGAAGGUUUUCUGCCUUAGUGUGUUGCAGAGUCCCAGGGCUCAAACGUUUUUCAGGUACUUUGAAGAAAGGAAAAUAUGAAGUAGGAGUUAAUGUUACUAAAACGCACUAGACUUGCUGAAGUGAGCCUGUUUUACAUGCUCUUUUGGGCUAAAAAAAGUUCUUGCUGUGUUAAAGUAAUAAUAUGAGUCUCAAUGUCCGUGGUGUAAGCCAGGCAAUCUGAGAAGUCCAGGUAACAAGCAGUUUGUUUGCAGCUUGAAUAUAUUUUAAAGGCUCUGAUUUGAUGUGAACACUCUCCUCAAGGGUUUAUUUUUACCAUGGAGUCAAGUUUUUUCAGUCUACGCUCAAGUAGAUUUCAGUACUUUCCUCGGAGUUGUGAAGUGCCUUCGUUCUUCAGAUUGUAAAUGCCCUAAACGUGGUUUAUCACCUCUAAUCUGAAGGCCCUUGCUGGCUUAGGUUCAAGAUACUGAAGCGAUGAGCUAUUUUAAUCAGGUGUUUUACCCUGUUACUGUACCUAAACUUAUAAAUCAAAACCUCUUGCUACACAGUGCUGUAAUUUGAGGUGCUCUGAUGAUGUCACGUACAUGAUAAAAGUACAUUCCCGUAAUUUUACUUGCCCCCCACCCCCAGGGGGAUUUUUUUGAGUAACGUUACUUUCUUUUUACUUAGAGCUGUAGUCCUGUUACCUGGUUAUACACGUGUCCUAAAUGCAGAUAUGUAAGUAUAAAAAGAUGUCAGGCUUCUGGAUGUAGAAACUGAGGUUCUCCUGAAGUGUGCUACUACGCUGAAAACUGCCCAAACCUGAUGAAAUUUUAUGGCUGAAGAGAUAGUGCUGAAUAUUUUAAAUGUGAUUUGAAUUGCAAGUGGUUCUUGCACAUGUUUGCUGUGAAGCAAAAAUGAAAUGAAAUGAAAUCAGGACUCGUCUAUACUGGCAGGGUAGAGCACGUUUUAUAAUCAGGCGUGUUUAGGCUUGAGAAACUGCAAAGCCUUCUUCAAAGAAGGUUGCUGGUGCUUACUGGCAUUAAAAGGCAUUAAUUCUGGGCUUUGCAAAGAAGUCUUAAAGGACAGUGAAAGUGAACUCGUCUCUGACCUUGAGUGAUGAGAGCUGUAUUGAAAGUCAGUAGUUGUAGUGCAGAGUUUAAGGUGUGCAUUGCUUACAGCAGCUCAGUGUUCAGGAUGAACACGAUAAAUCAGAGGCCACCGAGCUGCCAGAGCUGAGUUAGGCUCUAGGUUCAAGGAGGAGAGAAGGGAGAUCUCUUUCCUGGGCUGCUGCAACCCAAGCAGGUUAGGAGAAGGUAAAGCUGCUUCCUUACAAGUAGCAAUUAGGAGGACAGAAAUUAACGGGUGCUGGAGUAUCUAAAGCACUGGUAGAUGUUCCUGUUCAGAGCACGGAAAUCGGUUUCAUUUCAGCCUUUCAUCUUCCUGAGCUCCACUCUGCCGUCUGACCUGCACAAACAGGCUCCAGAACCAUCGUGGCUCAUAAAUCCUGCGGUGAGCCAGCCCUGCUGAGCCAUGGAUACAAACGUGGAACUUCUUAGUGUACAGCUAGCUAGAAAAAUACAUCACAAGUGAGUACGUUUAUGGGUGUGAAGUUCACGUGUUCACUUAGGGAAUUCAAGAACUGCCAGGUGCAUAGCUGGGAUUUAGAUACAUCUGUGUUCAUCUUCAAACCAAGACAGUUUAUCCUGCGUCCCUUUGCACCCCCUGGCCUACCUUUUGCUUCCCAAUGCCUGUGGGGGGAAGAAAAGCUGGUUUUAGGUACUUCAGGUAGGAGCUGCUGCAGUUUUCUUUACAGAGAAGAGCUGUAGUAUAUAUGGCUAUGUGCAUUAAGUGCCUCCAUGUACUCCACACAAAUUACUUUUUUUCUGAAGUGCUUGUUCAGCGAUGGCUGCAUCUGGAGGAGCAGGGAGCAGAGAGAGGGAGAGAUGUAAGAAUAUGUGGCUGUAUCGUAGGACUAACUGGUGCUUUUAGUGUUUCCAAACAAAGCACAAGCUUUUGACAAUGCUUGUGUGCCGUGUAUAUAUUUAAUAUAUAUCUCCUCAGGGGAAGGCUUAGUUAUACGUAACCAAGUCAGAUGUUUAUUGUUGUAUUCCCACCGUAUCUUCUUCAACAUUUAAGAUUUGCUCCUCUGUGAAGUCCACGUUGUGGGAUAAUCUCCUGGAUGUGCUCUUGGACAAUGCUGGAUAACGUCAGAACAUUGCAUUCUCUGAGGCUUGAGUAAGCAUGAGCUUAAUCAUACGUAAAUACCCGUGUUUUAUGUACGUGUAAUUCUCGUUCUUCAGGAGCAGAUAAAAAGAACUUCUCAUCUUGAUAAAAGCAGCCUUGUUGUUCCUGCCAGAUGCUGGGAAGGGGCAAUGGGAAUCAAGGAGGGUGCUCGGCUUGUAGUCCCCUGCAAAGCGUUACUCUGUGCACAGCUCGUGGCAUCCUUCUUGCACUGUAACUUUCUCCAGUCCUGUUGUUCUGUUUUCACUGUUGGUGAAAUUAUCAAGGGUUUCACAUCACGUGCUGAUUACGGUAAUUGUAGUGACAAAUGGCAUCUGCUUCCCUGGGUGGCCAUAACAGCGCUGGCAGCAGACACUAGGACAGCGGGACAGAGUGAGGGAAGCAUCCCUGAUUGCUUUGAAGCACACAGACUAUGUUUUAAUGUCUCUUUUUUUCUUUUUUUAAGAAAGGAACAGGUGCUGUUAAUCUUUCUAGAAGUAAAAGUGCCUCGUAGGGAUUUGUGUGAGGAUGGGAUGACUGGAGAAGGACACACCUGUCCUUCUGCAGCAUGAUCUGGUGUUUUGGUAGCUGUCUGCUCUGGCUUUGAUGUAAUCCCAGACUUUGUUCCACAUUCUCCGCCAUCUGCAGCACCGCAGAAAACCUCGAGCACUUCUGUUUAAAAACAAUGCUGGGUUGGCAUCAGUAAUUCCUGCAGUGUCCUGGUCUCUGUGCAGGGUGAGCACUAGGGCAAUCACAUAACACAGCUGGGGGAAUGUCUUGGGAUCGUGUGCUUUAGCGAUCUGUGAACGUGCUCGAGUCUGAAGCUGAACCUUUGGUUCACCAACAUGUUUGUUUCAAGCCCGAACUUCCAAAUUUUAGCUGGGAAGGCUUUGGGGGCUAUUUGCAGUGCUGAAAUCGUGGGUGUUAUUUAAACCCAGAGGCGGUCUGUAACUUCAGCUGGAGGGUGGAAACCCUUCUAUUUCCUUGCCUUCACUGGGCUGAAACCAAAAAUCUAAACAUGUGGAAAAAAUUUAAAUAAGCAGCUAGCAGCUCUUUGAAACAUUAAGCGUAUAUUUAGUAAAUACAACUGGAGAUUAUAGACAGGGCGAGGAUAAAUAUGUGUCUUGGCACGUGGCGCCCCUGUAACCCCGUCGUGGUGCUGUGCUUUUUCAGCUUGUGUGCUUUCAGGUGGCUUUUCAGCUUGGAGACUAUUCGUGGCCUAAUGAAGAAUAAUUAAAAAAAGCUGCACCAAAAAUGUGACACUUCCCUGUGGCUCGCGUAAGAUGUCUUCACCCCGCUAAUUGCUGUUAUUAAUUGAUGGAGAGGGAGUCCUGGGACUGUGAGUGAGCCCAGCUAAUGGAGGAAGUCCCCUUUGUGCAUUACAGGCAGCACAACGAGCGGGGGAGAUGAUAAAAAAAAUAAAAAUAAAAUAAAAUAAAGGGGCGCUGGCGGUGGGCUGGGAGAGAUGCAGCUCUUGCAGGAAUGACUCUUGUUCUUCUCCGCAGAAGGGCUUGCAUCCUUGGCAGGUUUUCUCAUCUCUGGACUUGAUUGCCUCAGCAGUCUUAGAAAGAGGAAACCUAGAAAACUUGUUGCAUAAUAUUUUGGGUAAAUUGAAUGGCUGAUGAGCCUACUGGGCUUGGCUUCUUGCUUCCCUUCUAGGAAGUGGGUGGAAAAGAGCCUUGAUUUCGUUAGCGAUUAAGGGAGUGGUGUAACAGUAGAGCAUGUUCGAGUUGCUAUCUUCAUAGAAGUUUCCUCUAAUGAUUUCCUGCAGGCAGUGGCCAGCUGCAGUGGAGCCAGCUGAAUGACACUUAGCUCCUCCAGUUCAUCACUGCAAGCUCAGUGACAUUUGGGAGACAUCUGAGAGCGGUGUCUCUGGAGGGUGACCCAUGGGGAGUGGCUCUGUGUGCUCACUGGCAUUUUGCAGCUGCCUUGAAGCCUUCAGGCUGCUCCAUACCUGGGCCAUCCCGCUCCUGUGAAGCAGGCAGCAGAAAGCUGGCCCAGCUCUCCAGACACUGCCACGGACGGCACCACUGCGCUGAGCAUCUGCACGCUCUGCUCAUCUGCCUGCACUCAGCGCCAGUGUAAGAUCAGCUCUCUGUCACAGGGCAGCGUUUGGAGGUAGAGGUGCAGCCCCUGGGAAUGUUUCGGGGUUGCUGUGUCAUCCCGUAAGUCUUGAAACGCCGUCUGGAUGGCAGCAGGAAGGCCUGUUUCUGCUCAGAUUGAUACCUGCUGUAUCUGCUACGUCUAAUUUUCAUAAAUCAAUCCUGACCGAAUAAGGCCUGUGAGCUGUGGUUAAUGCUCCCCGUGGCAAAUAGUCCCAGUGCAAUUUGGGAAGACUCCUUCAAAACCAGCAGCUAUUUCAGGCACAUUAGCUUUGUCUACUGCCUGGAGGUAAACCACAACACUAAUUGCCUCGCAAACCUCUCCUAGAGUGGCUGUGACAGCAGAUUUGGCAGCGUAUCUCCACGGGAGGGAAGAAAUUGCUCAUAUGAGGCUUGUUAAAUGGGGGGAGCUCUGGCUUGUGCUCAAUCUGAGUUUGAGAUGCAGCCGAUGCUGGGUUGGGACAAUUUACUCCCUCUUCUGAGGGAGGAAAAGUGCUCCGUGCAUGUGUACCAUGUCCGAUGCUCUCACUUUGUGGUUUUCAUUUAAAAAAAAAAAGUUGGAGGAUUUGGGGAGAAGGGAAGGGUGCAGAAAUGCUCUGGAUAUUGCAGAGCUUGCUGCUGUUCUUGGACCUUGCAGGGAUAAUAAGGAAAAUAUGGAGAAUCCCUCUGAGAUGAUGACAAUUUUCUGACCUGCUGGUGAAAAAUAUUGCACUUGUUGGCUAUGAACGUGGUGCUUCAGGUACUCUACUAAUACCCAUUCAGGAGAGUGAAAUAAGCUGAUUGCAUACUCUCCCUUUUAUUUAAAAAUGCAGCUUUUUCAUUUUUUUUUUCUGUUUCCUUAAUGAAACAUUGGACUUCUUUUCCUUGUGAUCUUCCUUUUAAAGUCAGAUUUUGUAAAUAACUUGAUUUACACGUUGGUAUGGUCACAUAAAUGAUUUUUUUCUUCUUUCACAGUUUGUUAAAGAUCACAGAGGACUUGAGACAAUUCAUAGUUUAUGAAUAGGUUCAUUCAUUAAAAAGCCAGGUUUUAAGCUUCUGGAUAAAACUAAGUCCUGGCUAUAGGUGAAAGAAAAGAUGAGAAUGAUUUUGCCCUUCUAGAAAUAAUUAUAAAUCUGCUGCAGAAUUCUAGGAAUUGCUGGGAAAAUCCUACUGCUUCUUAGGAAUUACUCAAGGGGGGGAGGGAAGCAAAUCCUGGAAACGCGUGAGAAUUGCUGAAGACAUCUACGCCCUGCCAGAUGUUCAGAGAGACUUAGCAGUUCCUGGAGGCCUAAAAAGCCACUAAAACUUCUUAGCUUCUAGUAAUUCCUGCUGGGAAACUCAAGGGAUUACGAGAAGCUAGAAAUCCUGUAGGAAUCCAGUAAAUUCAGUAACUCUGCUAGUAAUUUCUGUGACUUGGGAGCAUCUGCGAGGAAUAGAAAUGCUGCUGUCUUUGAGUAAAGUGACAAUCCGUUGUACGUGGAUAUCAACCUGCUCAUCUUCACUAAGCCAUGGAGCGUCUUACUUGGUGGGUGUCCCAGAGGUGCUUGUCUCACACGUGCUUUUUUUUUUUU